UACAGGGGGUGCAAACGUUGCUCGGAAUUAUUGGGCGUAAAGCGCGCGUAGGCGGCUACUUAAGUCGGAUGUGAAAGCCCCUGGCUCAACUGGGGAAGUGCACCCGAAACUGAGCAGCUAGAGUACGAAAGAGGGUCGCGGAAUUCCCGGUGUAGAGGUGAAAUUCGUAGAGAUGUGGAGGAACACCAGUGGCGAAGGCGGCUUUCUGGUCUGUAACUGACGCUGAGGCGCGAAAGCGUGGGGAGCAAACAGG
rnacentral:rRNA from 1 species